GCGAUUCGACAUGGUCUGAGUUUUAAUUGAUUGUUUUGUUGUUUUUAUUUGUUGUGCUAGAUGUUUUAUUGAAGUAUCAUUGUUGUUGUUGUAAUUUUUUGAUUUGAUUUUUUUGACGAUAGUUUAUUUGUACCGUAGGGGUUUAAUGGGUUUAUUAGUGUUUUUUUGGAAGCUGAUUUUGUUUGUCGUACCUUGUGUAUCAGGGUUCAUUGAAUUUUAUUAUUUAUUUUUAUUUCCCGAUUUUAAAGGAGCUAGCUGUUUAUGUUGGUUACUGUUUCAUUAGUAUCAAUAAUAGUUAGUUGGUAGUGAAAUGUUAUUCGUCUUUAAAGGUCUCUGGUUCUUCAAGAAAUGAAUUUAAUUCAUGCUCUUUGUUUAGAUUUUAUUUUUGGUUUAUUUUUCUUUACUUUGUGUAAAAAUUAAGGGGGAUUAGCUCCUUAUUUUAAUUUUAUAACUUUGUUUUUUAUUUAUUUUUGUGGAUUUUAUAUUGAUUCUCAAUUUGAUUAUGUUAAAAUUUUGUUAGUUUAUUUGUUUAUUUGUUUGGGGUUUAAGUUUUUAUUGAAGUGUAUUCUUUAUUUUUUUCUGUGUAUUAAUUAUUGUGUAAUUAGUAAAUUUGUUUUUAUUUUGUUUUAUUGGAUGUUAAUUUCUUUCGAGGAAUUAGGCAAAAAUUACAUGUCCGCCUGUUUAGCAAAAACAUCUCUUCUUGCUAGUAUUUGAAGUAUGGCCUGCCCACUGACGUUUAUUAGUUGAAGGGCCGCGGUAUUUUGACCGUGCAAAGGUAGCAUAGUCAUUAGUUCUUUAAUUGUGAUCUGGUAUGAAUGGCUUGACGAGACAUGGGCUGUCUUGGGUUAAAGGAUGAUUUAGUUGAAUUUGGUUUCUGAGUUAAAAUUCUUAGAUGUUUUUAUGGGACGAGAAGACCCUAUAGAGUUUGACACUACUUUAUUUCGUUACUGGUUGUUUGAUUUUAUAUUUGAUAUUUAUUAGUGUUUUGUUGGGGUGAUGGGAGGAAUAUCUUUUAACUCCUCUUUGUUUUAAUAUACUUAUUUGUGAUGAUUUGAUCCAUUUAUUAUGAUUAUAAGAUUAAAUUACCUUAGGGAUAACAGCGUUAUCCUCCUUGAGAGUUCUUAUUGGCGGGAGGGUUUGCGACCUCGAUGUUGGAUUAAGAUUGAUUUUCGGUGUAGAAGCUGAGGCGAUUGGGUCUGUUCGACCUUUAAAAUCUUACAUGAUCUGAGUUCAAACCGGCGUGAGCCAGGUUGGUUUCUAUCUAUAAUUGUUUUUUAUUCCUUAGUACGAGAGGACCGGGUAUUUUGAAUAAUUUUAUUUUUAUUGGUUUUUGUUAAUUGGUUACUAUUUUGGCAGACAAGUGCAUUGGAUUUAGAAUCUAUUAA
rnacentral:rRNA from 1 species